ACUCUCUCCAACGGCUUUUUUUUUUUUUUUUUUUCUGAUGGUUCUAUCACGGGCAAGUCGACGACUAUCUCCGUCAGUUUGCUUGAGCUGCAUGUACCGAGAAUGUAUUGUCUUCACUUCGGACUCCAAGUCUCCAACCUAGGGUUUCUCCAAGGGAACUCCCUCCAAUGGCUUUUUUUUUUCAACAGUUCUCUCACCGGCGAGUCGGCGACUAUUUCCGGCAAUUUGCUUGAGCUACAUGUACAGAAAAUGUAUUGUCCUCACUAGCGGCUAUCUCUGACAUUUUUUCUCUCCAGCAGUUUUCUCUCUCCGACGGCCAUCUCUCUUCUGUGAACUGCAAUCAAUCGUUGAAAUAGCAUCAGCAUUGCAGAACUCGGAGUGAUGAUGAUGACAACUUUUUUGGGUAGUUGUUUCCUCCAAGUAAGCUGUGUUUGGAGACUUGGAGUGAUGAUGACGAUUUGUUGUAACACAAAUCUUAGGAUAAAGGGUUUCUCAGAGAAUCAGCAAAUUUCAGGAGGAAAGCAUUUGGGGUGUGUCCAUCCACCCACACGGUGUUCUCACAUUAUUUGGGGUGUUCAUCAUGGAGAAUGUACCUGGCUAGUGGUUCCUCAAGAAGCAGGAAGUAGAAAGCAGAAUCUGGUUGGAUUCGAUUGAUAAGUAAUAACCUGCAUAAGAACAGUAUGCAGUAGCUCUUUUAAGAACUUGUCAAGAUGGUUGGAAUUUGGUUCAUCUUUUGUUUGUUUUUUUUUUUUGUUUUUUUUUUUUUGUGUGUGUGUGUGUUAGUAUUGAAGAAUUAAAUUCUAAAAGAUUAUAUUGACAAACUCUUAAUAUGGAAUGACUAAGUGUUGCAUUUCAA